CGUAGGUGGCAAGCGUUGUCCGGAUUAUUGGGUUAAAGGGUGCGUAGGCGGCUUUGUAAGUCAGUGGUGAAAUAUGGCAGCUUAACUGUCAGGGUGCCAUUGAUACUGCAGAGCUUGAGUACAGAUGAGGUAGGCGGAAUUGACGGUGUAGCGGUGAAAUGCUUAGAUAUCGUCAAGAACACCUAUAGCGAAGGCAGCUUACUAGGCUGUAACUGACGCUGAGGCACGAAAGUGUGGGGAUCAAACAGGAUUAGAUACCCUGGUAGUCCACACUGUAAACGUUGAUUACUCGCUGUGUGCGAUAUACAGUACGCGGCCAAGCGAAAGCGAUAAGUAAUCCACCUGGGGAGUACGCCGGCAACGGUG
rnacentral:rRNA from 1 species